UACGUAGGUGGCAAGCGUUGUCCGGAAUCAUUGGGCGUAAAGCGCGUGUAGGCGGUUCGAUAAGUCUGCUGUGAAAGUCCAGGGCUCAACCCUGGGAUGCCGGUGGAUACUGUCGAGCUAGAGUACGGAAGAGGCGAGUGGAAUUCCCGGUGUAGCGGUGAAAUGCGCAGAUAUCGGGAGGAACACCAAUUGCGAAGGCAGCUCGCUGGGACGUCACUGACGCUAAGACGCGAAAGCGUGGGGAGCAAACAGG
rnacentral:rRNA from 1 species